GAGCUCUCCGGCUCUCAGGAGCGAAAGCUUCCAAGUUGGGCUCUCCCCUUGGCCCCUUCCACCCAGGGAAGACAGCUGGGUCCUCCAGGACCAAGAAUCCCCAAAGGGGCUGCUCCCAGAGGUUGUGUUGCAGGGACUGGAGAGAGGACUUCCCAGUACAGGGGCUGGCCCUCUGAUCAGGUGGGGGUAGGUGGCAGCAGAGCAUUUGGUAGGAGGUCAGGAGCUCAUAGGAGAUGGGAUUCUGCCGAUGCCUGCUGAAUGAAUGAGGGAGGGAGACGGCAGGACCAGGGACUGGGGAAUUGGUACUAAGGUGCUGGGUACCUGCCGAGCACCCUGUCCAUACAUGAUCUCAGUUCAGCUCUCCACCUUGGAAACACAAGAAAGGAUCCCUGGCUGAAGAGGGAAACAGAGGCUGGAAACAGUGAGUUCCUCCUCCUAACUCAGGCUUCCAGGAAGGAUAUCCUCUGCUUCUCAGACCUGAACCUGCCUCGAAUACUCAUGAGGACCCAGGAGCUACUCCUCACCUCCCACUUCUCCUCUGUCCUGUCACAUAACCAAGGCACGGCCAACUGAUCUCCAACCAUCUGAGGAACCAAUCGUGUGUGGGAACCGCUGAGCAGAACACCCUCCCCCAGCGGGAAAUCCGGGACACGCAGGAGCCUCAGUGAAUCCGACCAUUGUCUCAUCUCACCAG
rnacentral:lncRNA from 1 species